UCCCAUAUUGGCUAGUGGUUAGGAUACCUGGCUCUCACCCAGGAGGCCCGGGUUCAAUUCCCGGUGUGAGAA
rfam:Daphnia pulex DAPPTscaffold_240_Cont7681, whole genome shotgun sequence.